UACAGCGGGUGCGAGCGUUAAUCGGAAUUACUGGGCGUAAAGCGCACGUAGGUGGCGACGUAAGUCGGGUGUGAAAGCCCCGGGCUCAACCUGGGAAUUGCAUUCGAGACUGCAUUGCUGGAGUACGGAAGAGGAGGGCGGAAUUCCCGGUGUAGCGGUGAAAUGCGUAGAUAUCGGGAGGAACAUCAGUUGCGAAGGAGGCCCUCCGGUCCAGUAUUGACUCCCAAGUGCGAAAGCGUGGGGAGCAAACAGG
rnacentral:rRNA from 1 species